GAGAGAGAGAGAGGGAGCAAAGAGCACACCAGCAGACCGAGCCGGGGGGAGAGAGAGAGAGAGAGCGUUUGUCACUCCGUUGUGGAAGCUUCGCCAUGUCCCUCGAGGAGUCGCCAGCCGUCUUGAAACGCUUACAGCUCAAGUUGCAGGAUGGCAUCCCACUCUUGGAGCCAGUCACGGAGAACUGGGAAGCCGUGGUCUCUUUCCAGGCUCGACCGGAGGAUAUCGUCAUCGUCACGUAUCCAAAGGCAGGCACCACUUGGAUUCAGGAGAUCGUUGACCUUAUUGUUACUGAGGCUGACAUGAAUAGGAGCAAACAGGUCCCCAUUCAUCUGAGGUGCCCCUUCCUGGAGAUUUGGGGUCACCCUCCGAUCGC